rnacentral:rRNA from 1 species
UACAGAGGUCUCGAGCGUUAGGCGGAAUCACUGGGCUUAAAGCGUGUGUAGGCGGAUCGGUAAGUACCUUGUGAAAAUCCCACAGCUUAACUGUGGAACUGCUUGGUAUACUGCCAGUCUUGAGCCAGCUAGGGGCUACCGGAACAAAUGGUGGAGCGGUGAAAUGCGUAGAUAUCAUUUGGAACGCCAAUGGUGAAAACAGGUAGCUGGGGCUGUGCUGACGCUGAGACACGAAAGCCAGGGGAGCAAACGGG